GAGUGUUUAGAGCAGGCUAACGCUUGAAUACACUAGCAUGGAAUAAUGAAAUAGGACGUUCGAUCUUAUUUUGUUGGUUUCUAGGAUUGACGUAAUGAUUAAUAGGGAUAGUUGGGGGCAUUAGUAUUCAAUUGUCAGAGGUGAGAUUCUUGGAUUUGCUGAAGACUAACUACUGCGAAAGCAUUCGCCAAGGAUGUUUUCAUUAAUCAGGGAACGAAAGUUAGGGGAUCGAAGACGAUCAGAUACCGUCGUAGUCUUAACCAUAAACUAUGCCGACUAGGGAUCGGUACGGGAUUCUAUAAUGACCCGUUCGGCGCCUUACGGGAAAC
rnacentral:rRNA from 2 species